rnacentral:misc_RNA from 1 species
GUAGGUGAACCUGCGGAAGGAUCAUUAACUAGUAUUGAAGUCCACGGGGUCAAGCUUUCCGAAAGGAGGGUGGGGGGAUGUUUGGUUCCCCCUGCUUGGGCAGACUGGAGAGCAUGGCGCAACCGGCACACCUAGUGUGUCGGCCAAGUCAUGUUUGGCCUCUGCUGAUCGAGCUUGUCACCUGAAUUCUACUACCCUUGCUUUUUGCGCACCCAUUGUUUCCUCGGCAGGCUUGCCUGCCAGUAGGACCUUUUAAAACCCUUUGUAAUUGCAAUCAGCGUCAGAAACAACGUAAUCGUUACAACUUUCAACAACGGAUCUCUUGGUUCUG